rnacentral:rRNA from 1 species
UUAGACGGCCAUAGGGGCCAGGUCACACCCGAUCCCAUUCCGAACUCGGACAGUUAAGCUGGCUUCCGUCUCUGGUGGUACUGCGCUAUGCGCGGGAGGCCAGGGAAGCUGUCACCC